rnacentral:rRNA from 1 species
ACGAACGCUGGCGGCGUGCCUAAUACAUGCAAGUCGAACGCUUCUUUCCUCCCGAGUGCUUGCACUCAAUUGGAAAGAGGAGUGGCGGACGGGUGAGUAACACGUGGGUAACCUACCCAUCAGAGGGGGAUAACACUUGGAAACAGGUGCUAAUACCGCAUAACAGUUUAUGCCGCAUGGCAUAAGAGUGAAAGGCGCUUUCGGGUGUCGCUGAUGGAUGGACCCGCGGUGCAUUAGCUAGUUGGUGAGGUAACGGCUCACCAAGGCCACGAUGCAUAGCCGACCUGAGAGGGUGAUCGGCCACACUGGGACUGAGACACGGCCCAGACUCCUACGGGAGGCAGCAGUAGGGAAUCUUCGGCAAUGGACGAAAGUCUGACCGAGCAACGCCGCGUGAGUGAAGAAGGUUUUCGGAUCGUAAAACUCUGUUGUUAGAGAAGAACAAGGACGUUAGUAACUGAACGUCCCCUGACGGUAUCUAACCAGAAAGCCACGGCUAACUACGUGCCAGCAGCCGCGGUAAUACGUAGGUGGCAAGCGUUGUCCGGAUUUAUUGGGCGUAAAGCGAGCGCAGGCGGUUUCUUAAGUCUGAUGUGAAAGCCCCCGGCUCAACCGGGGAGGGUCAUUGGAAACUGGGAGACUUGAGUGCAGAAGAGGAGAGUGGAAUUCCAUGUGUAGCGGUGAAAUGCGUAGAUAUAUGGAGGAACACCAGUGGCGAAGGCGGCUCUCUGGUCUGCAACUGACGCUGAGGCUCGAAAGCGUGGGGAGCAAACAGGAUUAGAUACCCUGGUAGUCCACGCCGUAAACGAUGAGUGCUAAGUGUUGGAGGGUUUCCGCCCUUCAGUGCUGCAGCAAACGCAUUAAGCACUCCGCCUGGGGAGUACGACCGCAAGGUUGAAACUCAAAGGAAUUGACGGGGGCCCGCACAAGCAGUGGAGUAUGUGGUUUAAUUCGAAGCAACGCGAAGAACCUUACCAGGUCUUGACAUCCUUUGACCACUCUAGAGAUAGAGCUUUCCCUUCGGGGACAAAGUGACAGGUGGUGCAUGGUUGUCGUCAGCUCGUGUCGUGAGAUGUUGGGUUAAGUCCCGCAACGAGCGCAACCCUUAUUGUUAGUUGCCAUCAUUUAGUUGGGCACUCUAGCGAGACUGCCGGUGACAAACCGGAGGAAGGUGGGGAUGACGUCAAAUCAUCAUGCCCCUUAUGACCUGGGCUACACACGUGCUACAAUGGGAAGUACAACGAGUCGCUAGACCGCGAGGUCAUGCAAAUCUCUUAAAGCUUCUCUCAGUUCGGAUUGCAGGCUGCAACUCGCCUGCAUGAAGCCGGAAUCGCUAGUAAUCGCGGAUCAGCACGCCGCGGUGAAUACGUUCCCGGGCCUUGUACACACCGCCCGUCACACCACGAGAGUUUGUAACACCCGAAGUCGGUGAGGUAACCUUUUUGGAGCCAGCCGCCUAAGGUGGGAUAGAUGAUUGGGGUG